GAACGCUAGCGGCAGGCUUAACACAUGCAAGGUCGAGGGGCAGCACGGGUAGCAAUACCUGGUGGCGACCGGCGCAAGGGUGCGUAACGCGUGAGCAACAUGCCCUAUACAGGGGGAUAAUCCAGGGAAACUUUGGUCUAAUAUCCCAUAGUAUUUAGAGGAGGCAUCUUCUAUAAAUUAAAGCUUCGGUGGUAUAGGAUUGGCUCGCGUGACAUUAGCUAGAUGGUGAGGUAACGGCUCACCAUGGCUAUGAUGUCUAGGGGUUCUGAGAGGAAGACCCCCCACACUGGGACUGAGACACGGCCCAGACUCCUACGGGAGGCAGCAGUGAGGAAUAUUGGACAAUGGAUGGAAAUCUGAUCCAGCCAUGCCGCGUGCAGGAAGACGGCCCUAUGGGUUGUAAACUGCUUUUAUAUGGGAGCAAUAAGGUUUACGAGUAGACCGAUGAGAGUACCAUAUGAAUAAGCAUCGGCUAACUCCGUG
rnacentral:rRNA from 1 species